GCUCUGACACUUAAUACUCACAGGCCACAUUACCUUGGACAUAACCUUUCUCUGCCUCAGUUUCCUCACGUGUAAAGUGGCUCGUAUCGUGACUUACAAGGGCCUGCAUUGAUAUGGCCUCUCCUCCCACCUUCCCAGCCUCUCUCGCCCCCUCACUGUUCCCUGAGCACCCUGAGAACAGUCCCGCCUUGAGGUCUUCCCGUUGGCCAUCCCCUUUGCUCAGAAUGAGCUUCACCCAGACAUCCACAAGGCCAACUGGCUCACUCCCAAUAAAUUUUCGCUCAAAUAUCUUCUCAGUGCGGCCCACCGAGGCCAUUUCCCCAGCACUCCCAGCCGCUCACCUGCCCUACUAUUUGGUCCAUAUUCUUUCUAACCUACCACACGGUUUGCUUUGUGGUUUACUUGGGUGUGAUGUCCAUUGCUUGCUAUCUGUAUAAAAGUCGCAGGUCUCUGCUUUGUUCACUGCUGUGACCCAGGUACCCAGUACCGACUCUGGCAUAAAUGGGUACUCGUCAUACCAUUGAAAGGAUUGACUUUCAGGUUUGUGAGGAUUAAAUUAGAUAGUAUUUGGCAAUCGCUUAGCUCAAAGCCUGGCCCAUAGGAAGGACUUAAUAAAACGCUGCUGUCAUGGUGCCUGUCUUUAAUAUUGAUUGAUUUGCCGCUGGGUUAUAGUUUGGGUUCAGGUCCUACUGAACACGGGCCAUAUGUAAUGACCCGCCCAUUAUGGCUACAGUCCCUCCUUGCCACCCUUCCUAGUAGAAACAGGCCCUUUCAUUGAGCUCCAUGGCCUACCGAGGCAGGGUAUUAGAGUCAGCUUCAACACGCAACUGGAGAAAUCAAGUCAGGGAACGUUUGAUAGCGUAUUUAGCAAAGGCCGCGAGUCAGAGACCUGCUUGCCUCCUGGGCCGGCAACCGAAGGAAAGUGAAGCGAAAUGGAGGAAUGCCACAGCUCCAGGCCUCCUGGCCCCGACACUGGCCUUAUCACGUUGUGUUGGAAAGAACUACAACUGUGAGAGCUCCUUUUGCGCCACUGGGCAAGUCUCAGUCAACCGCAGAGAAAACCAAAUCCACUUCAAGAAUAUGGAGAUAAGUUGGAGAGAAAAAGCGUGGCUGAGUCAGCCAGAGGCAUUUCACAGAAAUGGCCUGGUGGGCAGGAGGGCUCUGGCCAGCUUGUGUGGUCUGCCAGGACACGGGCAGCUUGGGGCGGGACUCCUCAGACCCCAUUCCUUCCAUAGGUCUGCAAAAGGAGGUUCCAAAGGCCCCAAGUGGUCUUUUCUCCUUCCCUCUUCAUCCUUCCGCCACCCAACAGAGGAAGUCCUGAUCAGUUCUCAGAUGGUAUUGCGUGAGUACUGACUCCCUCAUCACCAGGAGUGUGAGGUUGACUGCCACGACUAGCCCUGCCCUUAAGGGCUCACAGCCCAGCAGGGCAGACCAUGGCCCUGCAAGCUACUUCUAGAUGAAGUAGUUAGGAGCACAGACUCAGAGCCAUGGGGCCUGGGUUUGAGCUCAGCUCUGCAGGUUGCCAGCUUUGUGAUCUUGGGGAAGUUACAUAAAUCUUUGAGGCCUCAGUUUCUUUGCUUCAUAAAAUCAGGACUGAUAGGGGCACCUGGGUGGCUCAGUUGGUUAAGCGGCUGACUUCGGCUCAGGUCAUGACCUCGAAGUUCGUGAGUUUAAGCCCUGCAUCGGGCUCUGUGCUGACAGCUCAGAGCCUGGAGCCUGCUUCGGAUUCUGUGUCUCCCUCUCUCUGUUCCUCCCCUGCUCAGGCGCUCUCUCUCUCUCUCUGUCUCUCUCUCUCUCUCAAAAAUAAAGAUAAAAGAAAAACUUUUUUAAAUGGGGACUGAUAAUAUGCCUACCUCGUAGGGUCGUUGUGAGGAACAAAUGAACGAAAUGCAUCGUGUACCUGGACCCGUGCACGGCACAUGGUAAACAUUAUGGAAGAUUCCGUUCCUCAUCCUGGCCGAGGCGCACACCCACAUCCAUGCCCUCACUGACUUCCAGCUCUUUCACAAUGAUGCCUCAGCAAAUCUACCUCACAGAUCUGGGAGUUAAUCUGUGAUUCAGCAAAGUAGUCAGAGAUAUGGGGAUGUGGAGGAGAGUUGUCACAAACAUUCCAGCCACAAGAAUACAACAGUGCUCCAUAGCACCUGUCUGGGAGUUGUCUGGAGGGCUCUGUGUCUCUCUGGGAGGCUGCGGUGUGAGUCUACGUGCCCUGCAGCGUUCCAACUUGCUCUCAUUUCAACACGACGUGCGGUACCUCCAAUGCAUCUGUGUCUCGACCCACGUUCCUGCAGCCUCUGGGCACCCUACGAAGCGGCUGAGGCACAGCUGGAUGGCACCUGCGGUGAAAGACAGCUCCCAGGCUUCGGAGGUGGCACUUGAUGGAAAGCACACGGACACACAUGAGUUCAAGCCCCGCUCCAUCACUUACUUCCUGUGUGUCUUUGGACCAGUUGCUUACCUUCUCAGAGCUGGGAAUGCUGCAUGUAUAAAAUGCAGAUAAUAAUGCUGACCUUCUUGUUGUACGAUGAUUUAAACAGAUGACACAGGUAAAGUCCCUAGCAAAGUACCUGGCCCAGAUUCUCAAAAAAUGUAAAGACAAGGACUCUCUCCAUCUUUGACUGCCGGCACCCUACCCGGUGCCUGACAUGAUGCAUGUUGGUUGUCAUCUUUAAGCCGUGAGGAGCUGACUCCACUGAGAGGGGCAGGCUGAGUUUAGAGGGACAAGUAAGAAGGGAGCCACUGGCUGAGCCCACGCAAAGCCACCUCUGUUGUCUGGUCUUCUCUCUCAUCCUUGGCUUUCCUCCAUUAGCAGGGAAAUGUCACCCUUGAAAUUCAAACUUGUAUUGAGCUGGUCAGGAGCUCUAUGGGCACAGGGAACAAUGCACCUGUCAAAUGUCUCACCUUGGCAAGGCUUUGGGGGUCUCUCGUGGCUGCUUACGGCACACACCCUUUAUUCUCUUGACCACUUCUGUUGGAAAGCCAAUGUUCUUUAAUCUCUCACAUGAGUAUUCAUUACUGUCUAUCCAAGAGAGAUGUGUAAUAGACGUGGAAAUGCAGACAAUGUAAAGGCUUGUAAAUGGCAAGAAGGAGGGAAACAGUCCUCUGAGGGGCUAUAGCUGGGCAAAGGGAGAAAGUGAGGGUCAGCUUUCAAUGUGUACUCUCCUGGACAGAUGUAGAUCAUUCUAAUGGCCGAUUGAUCUCGUAGCUCUGAAAAAUCUCCCACACAGAAAACAGAGGGCCCAAUCUGGACCUCAGAUUGGCUGUUUGUUCUUUUAAAUAUGAUUGUGGGUAGACAGGGUAGUUUUCCCCUUUGCAUUGUCUCCUUUGGAAUCUCUUAUUUCAAAAGAAGAUAAAUAUCAAGUACUCAUAUGUUUUGCUGUUUGUAGCAGAUGCCGCAAAAGGAACGGAAGGCAACAGGGUAUGUUAAAAUCAUUUUAACCCAUCAGGGCUGCUUGGAGUAAUUUCCCUGGAAACCUGUGAAAAGGGUUUUCAAGUUGAACUCGAGACAGUUGUAAAUGUGUCCUUUUGUUGGAUAACAGAAGGUGAAUGCUAAUGCUGAGAGGGAAUUGGGGAGCCAGAUAAGUUCUAGUCUUAGAAGUUCUUAGAAGCUCUCUCUGCCCUCCAAGCCUCAGCCUUCUUGGAGCAGCAGACGAGAGCCAGCACUGAGGGCUGAGACCUGUCCUGCAGCCAUGUGGUGGGAGGAGUGACCCAGGACCCAUCAGUUCAUCUCUGCCCACGGCCCUCGUGUCUGUAAAAUGAGAACAUGACACGACGUGACGAGGUACCCCUAAACAGAAGAGCCAGCAAUGGGAAGCUGGGAGCUGCAGCACAGAAAUAUGGGCCUGGGCAGACAACGUCACAGUCUUGUCCCCUCUCAGCCACCAACUCACUCAACCUAAAGGAAGUCACCAAACUCUGCCAGCCUCAGUUUUCUUACGUAUACAAUGGGGGAUUGGAUAAAUGGAAGAGUGGCCAACUUUUUCUCUGUAGAGUCAGAUAGUAAAUAUAUUGGGCUUCAUGGGCCAUAUGGUCACCACUGUAACUACCCAACUCUGUCCUGUGGCAAGAAAACAGCGAAAGACAACAUGCAAGUGAAUGGGUGUGGCUGUUCCAAUAAAACUUUAUUCGUAAAAACAGGCAGCAGGCCGUAGGUCUUGGAUUAGAAGAUCAGGGAGUUUCUUUUUGUGUUUUUUUUAAUUCACAACAUUUCUUUUUUUAAAUUAAUGUCUUUAUUGAGACGUAACUGAUAUAUCUCAACAGAUAUAGAUAGAUGCAGAUAUAGAUAUAAACUGCACAUAUUUAAUAUUUCAAUAGAGUUUUUUCUAACUUAAUAAAGUUAUGUUUUAUCUAAUGAAGGCAUAAACCCCA